rnacentral:lncRNA from 1 species
GAACACAUAGCAGUCUGCACUACACACUUGACAUACAUGCAAAGGUGAAAAUUUCCCUUUUCUUGGUGCUUCUAAUUAUUGAUCUCUCAUGGUUAGGAUAAUAAGUAUGUACUUUGUGAUGCUUUUGUUUUGAUACAGUUUGCAUUAUAUAUUAUAGUUAUAUUUUGUCAGAUGACAUUUGUUUUGUUUCUGAUUAGAGCUUGCUGUGUCCAUGUAUAAAUAUUUUUCGGAACGUACUAUGACAUUUUCUGUGCCACGACACAUUUGGUUUAAUUUUUUCAGAGGAAAUAGGUGUAUAUAUCAUGACAACCAUUUUCUAAGCAUGUUUGUGAAAAUUACGUUUAUGCUGCUGAAUUUUACUAACCUUGCCGGUAAUGCAUCUGUGCAUGAUCUUAAUUGUUUGAAUAUUCUCAUUCAACAUGAAUGGGUGGCCUCACAACCAAUAUAUAGUUGUACCCCAGUGGAACAACUUCAUGUUAAACUGACGUACCAAUCUGGCAUAUUGGCCCAUCUGUACGUGGGAGGUUUUUUGGUGAUAUGAUCAUGCAGGUUAACCAUCCAUGCAAUUGAAGUGACACGUCUAGAUAUUUGGGGAAAAGCUGUUGUAUAUUCCCCGCAUCUGCUUUUCAUUGUCAUAGCUACUUUGCUACCUCCCUGCAAUCUGUAUAAGUUGUGCGGUCUGAUGCUUUGAGUGAGAACACGCCUGAUAUGAUUUACUUCUUUCUGCUCUGAAUUAACAAGAUGCUCAGUAACAUUGUCUUGAAAAAUAAUGGUUGCGAAUGUGGAUGUCAGAUUGUUUCAAGGAUUUGAUUAUGGUAGUUUUACCUAUGACAAUAACAAAAUAUAAAAGACGCACACACACACACGAGUACUACUGAAUUAUGUUUUUCUAUAGGUCAUCAGAUAUGUUUGUGGAGGCUUUGGCUAGCAAAUUUGUUAAUUUUUGCACAUAGUAUCCAAUUAGGUUUGCCAGAUUUAUUUUUUCAUUCUAUUAGUUGCAGGCCUCAUAUGAUAACUUGCUUUCCUUUUGCCCGCAGGAUCUUCACUAAGAUAUAUCGAGCAGAGCUCAUCACAACAUCCUGUGAUGUUCUCAACCAUGUUAUCCUUCACGAUAAACAUAUUUUGAGGGAGACAAGAGAGCAUCCAAGCACGACCAUGUUGAUCUUGAUGUCUUGCUGCAGUACAAGCGGCUGUUGUCCCUUGAUCCAGGUAUGAUUUCUGAAGAUUAUUUCACUAAUUAGCUAUACCCAGUGUAUAUCUGGCACGUCCACUUCUAAAUGAACAAGAUAUUUCAAGGUGAUGCAUCUUGUCGUGGUCUUUGUCUGUGCUAUCCGUCUUCCUCAUUUGUGCUAAUUUGAUUACUCUUUUUUGAAGGCUGCAUCGUCGGGUUUCUCAUAACAUGUUGGUAGAUUUUAUCUAUUGUCUUCUUAAGAAAUAGAUCGACCCAAAACAUUGUUCAUAUUUACAUGUUGAUUAUUUUCGUAGAUUUAUGAUCCAAAUACAUGACCCAGUACAAGAUUACGAGCUUGGAGUCGUCCUUCUUGUUUGGGAGGGCAGAUUUGGUACUAAACACUUAAUUGGUGUUGAUAGACUUGUACUGUGAAAAAUAAUGGUAAUAUGAACAGACUGAUAGUGGUACACAUAGGGUGACAAGGAGUUAUUAUUUUCAUUCCUAUAUGCAACUUUUCUGGCACUAACCAAUAGUAUUGUG